rnacentral:rRNA from 1 species
AGCAGUCGCCGCGGGAAUACGUAGGUGGCAAGCGUUGUCCGGAAUUAUUGGGCGUAAAGGGCUCGCAGGCGGUUUCUUAAGUCUGAUGUGAAAGCCCCCGGCUCAACCGGGGAAGGUCAUUGGAAACUGGGAAACUUGAGUGCAGAAGAGGAGAGUGGAAUUCCACGUGUAGCGGUGAAAUGCGUAGAGAUGUGGAGGAACACCAGUGGCGAAGGCGACUCUCUGGUCUGUAACUGACGCUGAGGAGCGAAAGCGUGGGGAGCGAACAGGAUUAGAUACCCCCGUAGUCCCUGUCUCUUAUAC